GAUGAAGAACGUAGCUAAAUGCGAUAAGUAAUGUGAAUUGCAGAAUUCAGUGAAUCAUCGAAUCUUUGAACGCACAUUGCGCCCGGCAGUACUCUGCCGGGCAUGCCUGUUCGAGCGUCAUUUCAACCCUCAAGCCCUGCUUGGUGUUGGGGUCCCACGGCCGCCGUGGGCCCUGAAAGGAAGUGGCGGGCUCGCUACAACUCCGAGCGUAGUAAUUCAUUAUCUCGCUUAGGGCGUUGGGCGGCGCUCCUGCCGUUAAAGAACCAUCUUUAACUCAAGGUUGACCUCGGAUCAGGUAGGAAUACCCGCUGAACUUAAGCAUAUCAAUAAGCGGAGGA
rnacentral:misc_RNA from 1 species